GAAAGAAUGGACUAGAGCAUUGUGAUCUACAGAAACAAUUGUCUUCUUUUACUCUGGCUGGUGCCAAAGUGGCUCAAAAAAAGCUCUUGCACCUGAAAAAUAUUACUGCUUUGAACUCUGACAGUGGAGAGUUUGGGAAAAUUGUACUCAUAUCUUCAUAUCUAUUUUGGAAUCACAUGCCAUGGGAAUGCAGAAUACAGACAAAGAAGAUACUUUUCUUCAUCUAUUAA
rnacentral:lncRNA from 1 species